rnacentral:rRNA from 1 species
CCCUUAGAUGUUCUGGGCCGCACGCGCGCUACACUGACGAAUGCAACGAGCUUAUAACCUUGGCCGAAAGGUCUGGGUAAUCUCCAAAUUUCGUCGUGAUGGGGAUAGAUUAUUGCAAUUAUUAAUCUUCAACGAGGAAUGCCUAGUAAGCGCAAGUCAUCAGCUUGCGUUGAUUACGUCCCUGCCCUUUGUACACACCGCCCGUCGCUCCUACCGAUCGAAUGGUCCGGUGAAGCGUUCGGACCGUGGCCUUUGGACGGUUCGCCGUCUGUUGGCUGCGGGAAGUUCGUUAAACCUUAUCAUUUAGAGGAAGGAGAAGUCGUANCA